rnacentral:rRNA from 1 species
AUGUCUGGGAAACUGCCUGAUGGAGGGGGAGUAACUACUGGAAACGGUAGCUAAUACCGCAUAACGUCGCAAGACCAAAGAGGGGGGACCUUCGGGCCUCUUGCCAUCGGAUGUGCCCAGAUGGGAUUAGCUAGUAGGUGGGGUAACGGCUCACCUAGGCGACGAUCCCUAGCUGGUCUGAGAGGAUGGCCAGCCACACUGGAACUGAGACACGGUCCAGACUCCUACGGGAGGCAGCAUG